GACGAACGCUGGCGGCGUGCCUAAUACAUGCAAGUCGAACGCUUCUUUCCUCCCGAUUGCUUGCACUCAAUUGGAAAGAGGAGUGGCGGACGGGUGAGUAACACGUGGGUAACCUACCCAUCAGAGGGGGAUAACACUUGGAAACAGGUGCUAAUACCGCAUAACAGUUUAUGCCGCAUGGCAUAAGAGUGAAAGGCGCUUUCGGGUGUCGCUGAUGGUUGGACCCGCGGUGCAUUAGCUAGUUGGUGAGGUAACGGCUCACCAAGGCCACGAUGCAUAGCCGACCUGAGAGGGUGAUCGGCCACACUGGGACUGAGACACGGCCCAGACUCCUACGGGAGGCAGCAGUAGGGAAUCUUCGGCAAUGGACGAAAGUCUGACCGAGCAACGCCGCGUGAGUGAAGAAGGUUUUCGGAUCGUAAAACUCUGUUGUUAGAGAAGAACAAGGACGUUAGUAACUGAACGUCUCCUGACGGUAUCUAAACAGAAAGCCACGGCUAACUACGUG
rnacentral:rRNA from 1 species